CUGAGGUAUCUACCUUGGGGCCCCAGGAAGCAUGAGAAGGUCUCCCAUGUGGGAGACAAACCAACCCUGUUUAAUAUUUAAACAGCAGUGUUCCCC
rnacentral:sRNA from 1 species